UACAGAGGUCUCGAGCGUUAGGCGGAAUCACUGGGCUUAAAGCGUGUGUAGGUGGAUCGUUAAGUACCUUGUGAAAUCCCACGGCUUAACCGUGGAACUGCUCGGUAUACUGGUCGUCUUGAGCCUUCUAGGGGCGAGUGGAACAAAUGGUGGAGCGGUGAAAUGCGUAGAUAUCAUUUGGAACGCCAAUGGUGAAAACAGGUAGCUGGGAGUGAUGCUGACGGCUGAGACACGAAAGCCAGGGGAGCGAACGGG
rnacentral:rRNA from 1 species